rnacentral:rRNA from 1 species
GAUGAACGCUGGCGGCGUGCCUAAUACAUGCAAGUCGAGCGAACGGACGAGAAGCUUGCUUCUCUGAUGUUAGCGGCGGACGGGUGAGUAACACGUGGAUAACCUACCUAUAAGACUGGGAUAACUUCGGGAAACCGGAGCUAAUACCGGAUAAUAUUUUGAACCGCAUGGUUCAAAAGUGAAAGACGGUCUUGCUGUCACUUAUAGAUGGAUCCGCGCUGCAUUAGCUAGUUGGUAAGGUAACGGCUUACCAAGGCAACGAUGCAUAGCCGACCUGAGAGGGGGAUCGGCCACACUGGAACUGAGACACGGUCCAGACUCCUACGGGAGGCAGCAGUAGGGAAUCUUCCGCAAUGGGCGAAAGCCUGACGGAGCAACGCCGCGUGAGUGAGGAAGGUCUUCGGAUCGUAAAACUCUGUGAUUAGGGAAGAACAUAUGUGUAAGUAACUGUGCACAUCUUGACGGUACCUAAUCAGAAAGCCACGGCUAACUACGUG